CCCGUUCCCCUUUCCCCUCCUCGAUUCCUCUUCCCCUCCCUCUCCCUCUUCCUCGUCUACCGCCGCCACCACUAGCCGGAGCCCUCCGCCAUAGCCGCCGUCACCACUAGCCGGAGCCCUCCGCCAUAGCCGCCGCCACCAGCGCCCUCCCCAAAAGCCUGCAACCCACUUCUCUCUCCUCCGCUCACCUUAUUCCCACCAACGGCGAGCUCCUCCCCAAAGCCAUGGUGUGAGCGAGGAGGCGACAGGUCCGGAGACUACCUCCUGGAUCAGGAGGAGAAAGAGAAGCCUAGGGGCAAAAUUAUGCGUCUUAGCAGUGGCUCGAGCGAUGUAGGACGGUGAUGAGCGAGCGGCUUCUACAGGCGAUGGAAGCGGUGGUGGGGUGGCUUGGGGACCGGCGCUUGCGUCAACCGACGGCGAGCACGGCUGCUGCCAACCAGCCAAGGUAAGCUUGCCCCAACCCUUCCCUCUCUCCCUCUCUUUUCCCAUCUAUGCUCACUCCCUGUUUCAUCCUCUCCCAGGUCUUGGAUUCGCAAAGUGAUACAUCC
rnacentral:lncRNA from 1 species